CAGAUACUCCCUUUGUUCGGAAUUACUCGUCCAAGAAAUGAAUGUAUCUAGAUGUAUUUUAGUUGUAGAUACAUCCAUUUUUGUGACAAGUAAUUCCGAACGGAGGGAGUACAUG
rnacentral:pre_miRNA from 1 species